CACCGUCGUGUGUAUAAUGUAUGUGUCUCUGCAACACAACACCAUGUGUUAUUGUUGUGUACACCACACACACAACAUAACAUAAAUCAUAGUAAAUGUUUUUUUUUUUGUUUUUUUGUUUUUUUGUUUUUGCAGCAUUAGAUUGCAGAGAAAAGGGAGGGAGUAGUAGCAGUAGGUGGUAGGAGGUGUAGUUAAUAGCAAUAGGAACAGCAAUUGUUGCCACUGUCACACUGCUCUUUCUGCCUCUCACCCUUCUCGUGAUUACCCUUUCAACCUUUUCUGUUUUCUCUUUCCUCUUUCACCAUAUUCACCCUUUUGCCUUUUCCUUCCUUCUCUCUCUCUUUCAACUUCAAACUUCAAACCCUAGCCAUACCAUUGGCAUGCUCUUUCUCUUUCGGUUGCUUUUCAUGUAUUACGCUUUUGGGUCUUACAAUUCCCUUCAUACCGCUUUUUUUGGGAUUUUGGAGCUGUUUCAGGUUUGGAUGCCGAGAGUUAUGACUGAAGAGAAAUUUGGAGGUGCCCUUUGCGGUUUUGUACUUCUGUGCUAUCAUCUGUGACUUAUCUUUGAAAUUGGGCUAAAGCUGAGUUCUCCUAUUUUUAUCUGUCAACUUGUCAUCUAUCAAAUAUGGAUACCUCUGGUAGUACAUGUGAGAUAGUGGAAUCAAGGGAAGAAAUAAUAUCUGAGAUUAAAAUGGUUGACAAACCUGAGAGUAGUUAUGGUCACAAAUCAGGAAAAAGGUAUUCGAUUGAGAAUGAUAUUAAUCAGCUUUUCCAGGCUAUUGAUAUUAAAAGUUCAUCAAGAAGUCACAGUUCAUCACGUUUACAAAAGAAUGCUCUUAAAAGGCCAAUAAAAGUCACUUCAUCUCAGGCAUCAGGAAUUGGCAUCUCAGAGCCUGUAAGUUUGAAGCAGGCACUUAGAGGGUUGUGCAUCUCUCAGGCCUCAGAAAUGGCUGCUUUGAAAAGAUUGUCUAAGCCAUGCAGUUCAUCUAGAGCAUCAGAGGCUGGCACCAUCAAAAGGUUGUACACAGCGGUGGUGGAUGAGGGGAAAGGGAACUUGGUAGAAAUUUCUCUAGUGCCAGAGAUAUCUACUGCACCUUGUAAUAAAUUGCCCAGUGUAACUACAUCAAGUUCAAUUGAUCAUUGUACUAGUCCUAUGGUUGAUGCUAGAAAACCAAAAGAAAUGAUGAUUGGAUUUUCAUCCCAAGAUCAGAUUGUUCCUCUGCCUUUAGAGGUUGAGGGUUACAAACCAGUCAUGGACAUUGGAACACCAAUACUUGCAAAUUUGUCACCAGUUGCCUCUGCUAGUGAAGUGGUGCCAGAGGUUCUAAGGGAUCCUGCUUCCUUAAGCAGAGCUUCUCUUAUUUCUUCAAUGCCAGGUAAGGGGCAGGAAGCAAAUUUACUUCCUGCAUCUUGUCCACCUAGCUCUAGCGCUGGCAAUGGAGGGGAUAAAUCUACAAGCAGUAGUACAUGUUUGUCAAAGCCAAUAUUCAAUAACUUGAAUUUCCUUAAGAAAAAGGUAAAGCAGGAUUUUAGUUCUUCCUCAAGCUGCUCCACUCCAUGUACAAGUAAUUUGGACAAGGAGGUUGAAAAUUCUGAUUUGAAGCACGGAGUGAAAGAAAAUGAGAAAUUGUCUCCAAGCUGUUCAAAUCAUAGCAUUGAAGUUAACUCAAUUAGUGUUGGUACGGAUUCAAGCAAAUCUGGUUUCAGCUUGAACUGCAACAAGAGAACUAAGUUUCUGGUGACCAAAGUUGAUGAGAAAUCAAGAUCAAAGGAAAAGGGCGAGUUCUCUCAAAGUUCAAAAAGUAGCAUUGGAGAGUAUAGUAGUAGCACAAGCAUAAGUGAGGAAAGCAGUCUAAGUGGUUCCAGCCGUGGUGGCCACAGACCUCACAUGUCAAAACACAUGAGAUGGGAAGCUAUCCGAGUUGUUCAGCAGCAACAUGGUAAUUUAAAUUUGAAGCACUUUAAGCUGCUAAAGAGGCUUGGUAGUGGGGACAUUGGAACUGUUUACCUUGCGGAAUUAAUUGGUACAAGCUGCCUUUUUGCACUCAAAGUGAUGGACAAUGAAUUUUUGUCUAGUCGGAAGAAGAUGUUCAGGGCCCAAACUGAGAGAGAGAUCCUUCAGAUGCUAGAUCAUCCAUUUCUUCCCACACUGUACUCCCAUAUUGCAACAGAUAAGCUCUCUUGCUUGGUUAUGGAGUAUUGUCCAGGAGGAGAUCUGCAUGUGCUGCGACAGAGGCAGUCAUACAAGAGUUUCUCGGAACAAGCAACUAGGUUUUAUGUUGCUGAGGUUCUUCUUGCCCUGGAGUAUUUGCAUAUGCUGGGAGUUGUGUAUCGAGACCUAAAGCCGGAAAAUAUCCUAGUGCGAGAAGAUGGUCAUAUUAUGCUGACAGAUUUUGAUUUGUCACUCAGAUGUUCUGUCAAUCCAAUGUUAGUCAAGUCAUCUUCACCUGACACAGAUGCCACGAAGAAGACCUGUUCUGAAGCUAGCUGCAUAGACCCUUUCUGUCUCCAGCCAGAUUGGCAAGUUUCGUGCUUUACUCCCAUUCUAUUAUCUGCUGGAGCAAAAUCCCGAAAGAUGAAGUCUGACAUAGCUUCUCAUGUUGGUCCACUGCCACAGCUUGUAGUGGAGCCUACCAGUGCACGGUCUAACUCCUUUGUUGGAACCUAUGAAUAUCUUGCUCCGGAGAUCAUCAAGGGUGAGGGUCAUGGGAGUGCAGUAGACUGGUGGACUUUUGGUAUACUUUUGUUUGAGCUUUUAUAUGGUAAGACUCCAUUCAAGGGCCAAUCAAAUGAGGACACAUUAGCCAAUGUUGUGUCACAAUGCCUAAAGUUCCCUGGUGCUCCAAUAGUCAGUUUUCAUGCCAGAGAUUUGAUCAAAGGGUUGUUGAUAAAGGAUCCUGAAAAUCGAUUAGGUUCUGUAAAAGGUGCUGCUGAAAUAAAGCAGCACCCGUUUUUUGAAGGUCUCAAUUGGGCUCUAAUACGGUGUGCGGCACCACCAGAGCUCCCCAAGUUUCGGGAUUUUGGAACAAGUGCUCCGUCUAUGGCUGCAAAUAAGGAGAAUGCAAAUGAUUUAGAGGAUAUAGAAGAUUGUGAAGAGUUUGAGCUGUUUUAGUUACUCGGUCCCUUCCAACCCCAGUUUCCUUUUUCGUUUCUCUUUAUGAGGGUGGUGGGUGUUUUCUUGAUUUAAAGCACAGAUUGGAGAUGUUGGCAUUCAAUACAUGCAAAUUUCCAGUGACUGCCAGCUUUGGAAAAGGAAGUGUGAAUGAAGAAACUCAACUGAACAUGCCCCUAGUUUGAUGUGAACACUGAUGAUACAGGAUAACUGAUGUGCCCAUCACGUAACACACAUGACCAUGCCAAAGUCCAUAACAGUUACUGGUCACGAUGAUGGAUAGCACAGGUUUGCAAAAGGUAAAUUAUAACUAUUGGUUGGUUCAACUUGCAGAUAAAAGCAAAACAUUUCCGUAUAGCUAUUGGCCAAAGCCAUGAUGUGCAUGAACUAGAGUUGGAAUGCUCUGUGCAAGUCAUGGCUGCCGAAGGUAUAUUUGGUAUAUCAAAUUAUUUUGUUAAGAUUGUCAUGUAUUGACUUGUACAAUGUAAUUUCCUGAGGCUGAAAUUACAUAUAAAACAAAAUCAUUGUCAUUUAAGCAAUUUAUACACAGUUCCCCGUUGAUUUUACUUUUCCUUUGUUUUGUGACUUAUAAAAGUAUUUUUUCUGCGAUUGCAUUACAUAUAUCUAUGCACGUAUGUAAGACCAGAUUGUUUUCAUAGUUUUAAACUCUUCUAACUUGACUCUCUCCCUGAAUACCACUUGAUCUUAUCCAAAAGGCUGAAAAAGGUGUUUUAUUACUUCCUGAAUCAAGUGGAGCAUCAUCUGAUAUGUUUUUUUGCUUCCUGCCUUUUCUUGUAAUGUUUUGAAUCUUUGGUACCUAUCUUUUUAUGUACUCCGGUGGUGCUUGGGUUGUAUGAACUUGCAGAUACCAGAGGAUCAUUGUUGAACAAUAAUUAGAACCAGUGAAUGAACAUAUACAGAAGGAAUCUUGAUCACUUAAACAUCCAGAAGAUCUAAUUCUACUGGGGCAAAUAAUAUCAAUGUUGAACCACUUCCAUUAAAGUUAAAAUCAAUCCCAGGUACGCAUGGUGUGGUACUUUUUAUAGAAUGGACUAGUAAAAGUGGGCAACUUUUUUUGACCCUUUUAUGUUUGGGUUAUAUACCUCGGAAUUGUUGUUAAACUAAUCACAUUUCAAAUUGAAAGGGGCAGACUUAUGCACACACAUACACAUACAUACACAGUUUUAUUCUCUCUCUUUUUAGUCACAUUGAAUGAUGGAACGUCUCAGAAUAUUUUGCCGAAUAUCAGUGUGGCAGCUAUGCAUAUCUUAUUUUGAGCUGUUACCUCCAUUGUACCUUUAUCUGUGUUUUGUUGUCAUGCAGAUGUUAAAUCACUUGUUUUGGGACGUAACAGAUUUUUUCAUUACAGACUUAGUGUGACACUGAAGUUGAUUCUGUGUUUUUGGUGUCACUGCCAUUCUUGCUUUCAAUUAAUCAAUAGUUUACAAGAAAGAAGAGCAUGGACGCAAGGUGUUGAAGUAAUUUAGCUGCAGAUUUCCAUCCAAAUUAAACCAUUACUUCAUAUCAAUUUCACCAACAACCUUCCAUUGAGUAUGUGUUCAAUUUGUCAGAGAAUAUCAUAUAACAUUUCUCUUAUUUCUGUCCAUAGAUUCAUUUCGUUGAGUUUUGUCAUAUCAAUUCUGUAAUAUUCCCAUGCAUGGAAAUGACAGUGCAAGAAGUGUUACAGGAGCAUUCACUAGGACAAAGGACAAUCAAUUGACAUGCACAUGCUGAGAAAUGUGCUUAUAAAACUUAGAUCAAACAACAUAUUUCUGAUUAUCCUAAAGUAUUUGAA